AUUGAACGCUGGCGGCAUGCCUAACACAUGCAAGUCGAACGCGUGGCGGACGGGUGAGUAAUGUCUGGGAACCUGCCCGAUGGAGGGGGAUACCUACUGGAAACGGUAGCUAAUACCGCAUACCAUCGGAUGUGCCCAGAUGGGAUUAGCUAGUAGGUGGGGUACCGGCUCACCUAGGCCACGAUCCCUAGCUGGUCUGAGAGGAUGAACAGCCACACUGGAACUGAGACACGGUCCAGACUCCUACGGGAGGCAGCAGUGGGGAAUAUUGCACAAUGGGCGCAAGCCUGAUGCAGCCAUGCCGCGUGUAUGAAGAAGGCCUUCGGGUUGUAAAGCACUUUCAGCGGGGAGGCGGUACCUGCAGAAGAAGCAUCGGCUAACUCCGUGCCAGCAGCCGCGGUAAUUC
rnacentral:rRNA from 1 species